CACUUUGCCAGGAUCGGGAACCUCGCCCAAAGAAAGGAGACAGGGCGAGGUGUUUCGGGCGGCUACCUGCCAUUCUUCUCCCGCCCCGUGCAACACUGGGCACGCGGCGCGUGUAAAGACACACGCGCGCACACGCGCGCGCACACACCAGGCAGCCCCAAUCACGCCCUCCUCGCCCUCCGCCCCUCCGCACUUCCUCCUGUCAAAACGCGGCGCUCGACCCUCCCAUCCUUCAGUGCUCGCGGCCGAGGAAUUGUUUCCUGCCAGCGGCAGCCGAGCUGCGUUCACGCGCUGAUCGGAGAAUGAGUGACAGUCCCAGCCUCAGCACACUCGCAACUCGGAGAUCCUUGCGCUGGCCCGGGUUCGUUUUGAUGGAACUGGGAUGGGAGCGAGGAGCGGGGGGCGGGGGUGAGAACCUCACUGUGUCCUUCCACCACGCCGGCCACAAAUAGUGCCGAACAUCAAGGAGGUAAGAGAGACAGGGGAGGCAGAUGCGGAAGCCUGCAAAACGCGGCCUGGAGCUUUUGGGGGAGCCGGGCUCUUUCACACGCAGUCUCCCUGGGAGAGCUGGGAUUUCUUUUCACACUUCUACCCUACGCCUUCGCAGGCGCUCCUGCUACCCAGCCUUCCUUAAUCAGCAGUUUGCAUAUUUUGAUAACUAGUAAAUAAUAAAAGCAAAAUUUUAGAUUUGGUUAGGUAAAGUUGUCAAAUCCCUCCAUUUCGAUUCUAAGAUCCUUGCAACACAAGGAUAGCCCAGGACUUUAAGUGCGGGAAAUUAGAACUUUGGAGAGGGAUGGGGGUUGCCGUUGCUGGGUGUUGUUUGGAUAUUGUUUGUUUGUUUGUUUUAUCCUAACUGUGAAGUUUGCUCUCCCACAGAGAGACAUACAACACCCUUCAGCAGAUCCCCUGGGAAGGAGGUGGGAAGAGACUUAAGUUAGAAGAAAACUCCGAUGUUUGGAAGAGAUUUCCAGAAAUAACCCGAAGAAAAUGUUUUCCUGUUUAUAAAUUCUGAAAUCUGUGGUCUCUUUAUUAAAAUAGCCAGGCUUUUAUAUAGGUAUUAUGAUAUAGAAGCGUCAUUAAAUAAUAUUUUCUUACAUGGGGACGUGACCUUAAUUCUUAAAGAUAUUAAUGUAUAAUAUUACUGAGGUACCAACACAAUAGGCUUUAAUUAAAAUUCCACCCGUGUUUUCAAAAGUAGGGGGUGGAGAAAGCGGGGUGAAAAGAAUCAUGUCUCAGCACCUGAAGGCUUGGGUAUGUAAGGAACUAAUGUGAGAAAGGUGUUCUAGAUGUCAGGUUAACCCAUUAGCCUAGAACACUGAAACCCUCUAACAGAGGAAGUCUGCAUAAGUUCAAAGGCAUUAAAGCACUAAUGUUACCGGGUACUCCGUUUUUCUUCAAAGGUCGGCCUCCCCACUCCUGUAGCAGGUUUUUUGUUUUGUUUUGUUUUGUUUUGUUUCUGUUUUGUUUUUUUGAGAUGGAGCCUCGCUCUGUCGCCCAGGCUGCAGUGCAGUGGCGCCAUCUCUGCUCACUGCAACCUCUGCUCCCGGUUCAAGCGAUUCUGCUGCCUCAGCCUCCUGAGUAGCUGGGAUUACAGGCGCGCGCCACCACGCCCAGCUAAUUUUUGUAUUUUUAGUAGAGACGGUGUUUCACCAUGUUGGUCAGGCCGGUCUCGAACUCCUGACCUCGUGAUCUGCCCACCUCAGCCUCCCAAAGUGCUAGGAUUACAGCCGUGAGCUACCGCACCCAGCCGCUGUAGCAGUUUUUAAAAGUCCAUCCUCUACUGUCAGGACAUCCAUCCUUAUUGGACAGGCCCCAUCUCUUCCCCACUUUCCUCCUCUAUAAUAGACCAAGUGGGCCACACCAGUACAGUGUAAUUAGCUUGGACCCCUGAAAAGUAUUUCUUCCCCCAAGUAAAUCUUCCACAACGUUUACUUUGGGCUAUUUCUCUCAUUCCAAGUAUAAACAAUUCAAAAGUACAGAAAAGUAGAAAGAACUAAAAAUAACCCCAAAUCCCACAGAUUCCAGAGAUACUCAUAGAUUUUGUCUUCUGUAUGUGCAUAUGAUUUUUAUAAUUGACAUAUUAUAGUAGCAAUUUGAAUCCUGCUGAUUUUGCCUAACAUCAGUAUAAGCAUUUAUUCCUCUGGAUCAUUAAAAAGCUUUUCUAGAUAUUUUUAUAGCUAUGUAAUAUUUCUUCAUAUGGAUGAUUUUGCAAUGGUUUCCCCAUUUUUGCAUAUUUAUAUUGUUUGUGGAGUUUGAUAAUAUAAAUAAGGCUUUUUUGAACAUCUUUCAACAAAUAUUUGCGGAGCAACCACUGGGUUUAGCCCUGUGCUAGAUGCAGUGAAUUAUAUACGUCUUUUUUUAAUGGUUGCUGUAUUUAAGUGUCUUUGAUUUCAGACUUC
ensembl:lncRNA novel transcript, antisense to NCAM1